rnacentral:rRNA from 1 species
UUUUAUGAGAGUUUGAUCCUGGCUCAGGACGAACGCUGGCGGCGUGCCUAAUACAUGCAAGUCGAACGCUUCUUUUUCCACCGGAGCUUGCUCCACCGGAAAAAGAGGAGUGGCGAACGGGUGAGUAACACGUGGGUAACCUGCCCAUCAGAAGGGGAUAACACUUGGAAACAGGUGCUAAUACCGUAUAACAAUCGAAACCGCAUGGUUUUGAUUUGAAAGGCGCUUUCGGGUGUCGCUGAUGGAUGGACCCGCGGUGCAUUAGCGAGUUGGGGAGGUAACGGCUCACCAAGGCCACGAUGCAUAGCCGACCUGAGAGGGUGAUCGGCCACAUUGGGACUGAGACACGGCCCAAACUCCUACGGGAGGCAGCAGUAGGGAAUCUUCGGCAAUGGACGAAAGUCUGACCGAGCAACGCCGCGUG